ACCCUAUCGAGACUUGUCUAACAAGAAAGAAACGAUAACAUUACGCUCACCUUUCAUCAGUUUCCUAAGCUAAAGCACCCAAAUUCUCUUUGCUUCUUAAUAAAUUCUUCCAAUUCUUAAAUCCCAAGCAAACUAAAACCAAAAACAAAAACGAAACCCAACCCAACUCUAUCAACCGCACAUGACGGAUCGGAAAAUUAACCCAAAACAGAGGAGACUCUGUGAUUAUUGUAACCAAUCAAAAGCUCUUUUAUAUUGCAGAGCUGACUCCGCCAAGCUCUGUUUUUCGUGCGACAGGGAAGUUCACUCAGCCAACCAACUUUUCACCAAGCACUCUCGGUCCCUACUCUGCGAUGCCUGUGACAAUUCCCCUGCUUCCAUCUUUUGCGAAACAGAGCAAAGUGUUUUUUGCUCGAAUUGUGAUUGGGAAAACCACAAGUUUUCCUCAUCUUCGUUGCAUAAUAGGAGGCCCAUAGAAGGGUUUACUGGGUGUCCUUCUGCGAGUGAGUUGGUGAGUUUUGUUGGGAUUGAGGAUUUGGGUGAUAAGGCUCCGUUUUUUAGUGAAGAGAAAGUUGGCUGUGGAGAGGAUGGUGAGGAUGAUGGGUUAUUGUAUUUAUUGAGUUGGGAAACUCCUGUGACUUCUGGCUUUGAUGAUUUAAUUGUUUCGAAUGAUUUUGAACAUGGGUUUAAGCCUACGGAUGUUCCUCCUUUGCCUAAGAAUCGUAAUGCUUCUUGUGGACAACAUAAGGAGGAGGUACUUCAUCAGCUACGUUACCUUGCAAAGUCAGAACCUAACCACAGCUUUGUAAAGACUGAUGUUGAUGCCAUUACUGGAUUCCAGCCAUGGAUAACUGAUACUGAUAAUUUGCAGCCAGGAAUUGUGCAUACAAGUUGCAAAAAUGAUACAGAUCCAAUUUCAUUUCCGGCUUAUGAGUCAAGCACACCACAGUGCUUCAGUGAUAAUGUUGAGAUGGCUGAUCAAGUAUUUCUACCUUUUUCACAAUUAAGGUGCUAUACCGAGGAAAGUGCUGUGGUUCCUGAUAAACAUCUAGGUUCUAGUAGGACUACACAUGAGAAUGAGAGUCUUGAAAACCAACUACAACAUCAAAUUGCCGGAGGAACCAUGUCAGCACUUCCAAAGGUUGCUGUCCAUGAGUUAAAUAGCCAGGAGAGAGACUCUGCAAUCUCACGCUACAAGGAGAAAAGGAAAACAAGAAGAUAUGAUAAGCACAUCAGGUAUGAAUCAAGAAAGGUUAGAGCUGAAAGCAGGACAAGAAUUAAGGGGCGUUUUGCAAAGGUGGACCAUUGAGAUACUGAUUGCCAAAUACCAGGAAACUUGGAUCCUUUUAGAACCAUUUCAUGCAAAUAAAAGAAUGGUCGGAGAAAUUGUGCGUCCUGUAUUCAGAAUAUUCAAUAUUUGGUGUAAUGAGACACACCAACCAGCUUUGCUUCGAAUUUAACACCAUCCGAAGCUAAUUAAAUACCCAUGUUGAGAAUGGCUAGUGCUACCAGCCAAAAGAAAACCAACGAUCCAACCAACGAUAAGAUUAUAGCAGCAGUCAUUUGAUGACAGAAGCCACCGAACAAAUUGCACACCUUCUUCC